CCAACAACCCUCUUUUAACCUGAAUUAACCCAUUUCACGCCGACCCUUCUCCUCUUCACCACAACUUAUGGCAACCACGACUUCACCUACCACUAUCUCCAAUAGCAACAUCAACAAUAAUCAUGAAGUCUCUCCUUUCCUUUUCACCACAAACAAACCGAUAUUCUCACCAUUGUCUCUUUCCUCAUCUACCACCAUCAUUAUUAAAAAAAACCC
rnacentral:lncRNA from 1 species